UCCUGUAGUAGUGGGCUAGUAUUCCUGUAGUAGCGGGCUAGUAUUCCUGUAGUAGUGCCACUACUACAGGAAUACUAGCCCGCUACUACAGGAAUACUAGCCCACUACUACAGGA